rnacentral:rRNA from 1 species
AGAGCGGCGCACGGGUGAGUAACACGUGGGAACGUACCCUUUGGUUCGGAACAACCCCAGGGAAACUUGGGCUAAUACCGGAUAAGCCCUUACGGGGAAAGAUUCAUCGCCGAAGGAUCGGCCCGCGUCUGAUUAGCUAGUUGGUGGGGUAAUAGCCCACCAAGGCGACGAUCCGUAGCUGGUCUGAGAGGACGACCAGCCACACUGGGACUGAGACACGGCCCAGACUCCUACGGGAGGCAGCAGUGGGGAAUUUUGGACAAUGGGGGCAACCCUGAUCCAGCCAUGCCGCGUGUGUGAAGAAGGCCUUCGGGUUGUAAAGCACUUUCGGACGGAACGAAAUCGCGCGGGCGAACAUCCCGCGUGGAUGACGGUACCGUAAGAAGAAGCACCGGCUAACUACGUG